UGGGAGCACCUUCGUGGUGUGACUGCGUACCUUUUGUAUAAUGGGUCAGCGACUUAUAUUCUGUAGCAAGGUUAACCGUAUAGGGGAGCCGAAGGGAAACCGAGUCUUAACUGGGCGUUAAGUUGCAGGGUAUAGACCCGAAACCCGGUGAUCUAGCCAUGGGCAGGUUGAAGGUUGGGUAACACUAACUGGAGGACCGAACCGACUAAUGUUGAAAAAUUAGCGGAUGACUUGUGGCUGGGGGUGAAAGGCCAAUCAAACCGGGAGAUAGCUGGUUCUCCCCGAAAGCUAUUUAGGUAGCGCCUCGUGAACUCAUCUUCGGGGGUAGAGCACUGUUUCGGCUAGGGGGCCAUCCCGGCUUACCAACCCGAUGCAAACUACGAAUACCGAAGAAUGUUAUCACGGGAGACACACGGCGGGUGCUAACGUCCGUCGUGAAGAGGGAAACAACCCAGACCGCCAGCUAAGGUCCCAAAGUCAUGGUUAAGUGGGAAACGAUGUGGGAAGGCACAGACAGCCAGGAUGUUGGCUUAGAAGCAGCCAUCAUUUAAAGAAAGCGUAAUAGCUCACUGGUCGAGUCGGCCUGCGCGGAAGAUGUAACGGGGCUAAACCAUGCACCGAAGCUGCGGCAGCGACACUAUGUGUUGUUGGGUAGGGGAGCGUUCUGUAAGCCGUUGAAGGUGGCCUGUGAGGGUUGCUGGAGGUAUCAGAAGUGCGAAUGCUGACAUAAGUAACGAUAAAGCGGGUGAAAAGCCCGCUCGCCGGAAGACCAAGGGUUCCUGUCCAACGUUAAUCGGGGCAGGGUGAGUCGACCCCUAAGGCGAGGCCGAAAGGCGUAGUCGAUGGGAAACAGGUUAAUAUUCCUGUACUUGGUGUUACUGCGAAGGGGGGACGGAGAAGGCUAUGUUAGCCGGGCGACGGUUGUCCCGGUUUAAGCAUGUAGGCGGAGGUUCCAGGUAAAUCCGGAACCUUUUAACGCUGAGGUGUGAUGACGAGGCACUACGGUGCUGAAGUAACAAAUGCCCUGCUUCCAGGAAAAGCCUCUAAGCAUCAGGUAACAUCAAAUCGUACCCCAAACCGACACAGGUGGUCAGGUAGAGAAUACCAAGGCGCUUGAGAGAACUCGGGUGAAGGAACUAGGCAAAAUGGUGCCGUAACUUCGGGAGAAGGCACGCUGAUAUGUAGGUGAAGCCCCUGCGGGUGGAGCUGAAAUCAGUCGAAGAUACCAGCUGGCUGCAACUGUUUAUUAAAAACACAGCACUGUGCAAACACGAAAGUGGACGUAUACGGUGUGACGCCUGCCCGGUGCCGGAAGGUUAAUUGAUGGGGUUAGCGGCAACGCGAAGCUCUUGAUCGAAGCCCCGGUAAACGGCGGCCGUAACUAUAACGGUCCUAAGGUAGCGAAAUUCCUUGUCGGGUAAGUUCCGACCU
rnacentral:rRNA from 1 species